AUUGAACGCUGGCGGCAUGCCUUACACAUGCAAGUCGAACGGCAGCGGACCUUCGGGUGCCGGCGAGUGGCGAACGGGUGAGUAAUAUAUCGGAACGUACCUUUCAGUGGGGGAUAACGUAGCGAAAGUUACGCUAAUACCGCAUAUUCUGUGAGCAGGAAAGCAGGGGAUCGCAAGACCUUGCGCUGAUUGAGCGGCCGAUAUCAGAUUAGCUAGUUGGUGAGGUAAAGGCUCACCAAGGCGACGAUCUGUAGCGGGUCUGAGAGGAUGAUCCGCCACACUGGAACUGAGACACGGUCCAGACUCCUACGGGAGGCAGCAGUGGGAAUUUUGGACAAUGGCGCAAGCCUGAUCCAGCCAUGCCGCGUGAGUGAAGAAGGCCU
rnacentral:rRNA from 1 species